AAAAAAGGAAAAAAAAUGAGAAAAAAGUAGAGAUUAUCACUCAACUAUGCCUCUGGAGCUUGAAGAUGUUGAGCCAAGAGAAAUGAGUUUGGAAGAGAUUGAGAGCAGAUUAGGAUCUCUUAUUCAAGUAGAGACGAUUACUCAACUAAAAUGUGCGGUGUGGAAAGAGCGGCUUAAAGGGUACUUGAAUUUCUUCAAGAGCUUCUGGAUCUGUUGAGAAAUGAGGGGCUACACUAUCAGAAGUCUGGACAUAACAUUGAAAAGUUCGAGAAAAAAUGCAUGAACUGAUGAACCAAGUCAUCCAAACAUAUUCUGCUGCAACGACUAUUCCUUAAAUUUUACAGGGUUUGCGUUCUAGGAACAACAGAACGAGGACCGAGUCCGCUGACCAUGUUGGAGUCUUAUUAGAUAACUAUGGAGCUGAGGAUGACAGGGAAAGGAUUAUUGUUCGCAGAUUCAAAUUUGAAGAAUUGAGAAUAGAGGAAAUUCAAGAU